GACGAACGCUGGCGGCGUGCUUAACACAUGCAAGUCGAACGAAGUGGCGAACGGGUGAGUAACGCGUAAUCAACCUGCCCUUCAGAGGGGGAUAACAGUUGGAAACGCCUGCUAAUACCGCAUACUGAUUGAGGGGAUUGCGUCUGAUUGGCUAGUUGGAGGGGUAACGGCCCACCAAGGCGAUGAUCAGUAGCCGGGCUGAGAGGAGGAAUGGCCACAUUGGGACUGAGACACGGCCCAGACUCCGACGGGAGGCAGCAGUGGGGAAUCUUCCGCAAUGGACGAAAGUCUGACGGAGCAACGCCGCGUGAGUGAUGACGGCCUUCGGGUUGUAAAGCUCUGUUAAUCGGGACGCGGUACCGGAAUAGAAAGCCACGGCUAACUACGUGCCAGCAGCCGCGGUAAUUC
rnacentral:rRNA from 1 species